UACGAAGGGGGCUAGCGUUGUUCGGAAUUACUGGGCGUAAAGGGUGCGUAGGCGGGUCUUUUAAGUCAGGGGUGAAAUCCUGGAGCUCAACUCCAGAACUGCCUUUGAUACUGAAGAUCUUGAGUUCGGGAGAGGUGAGUGGGAACUGCGAGUGUAGAGGUGAAAAUUCGUAGAUAUUCGCAAGAACACCAGUGGCGAAGGCGGACUCACUGGCCCGAUACUGACGCUGGAGGCACGAA
rnacentral:rRNA from 1 species